UAUAAAGUCAGUUAUGUAAGCUUUAAGGUUCAUGCCCUUAAUAAAUCUAUGAUCUUUAUAA
rnacentral:tRNA from 1 species